rnacentral:tRNA from 1 species
GGGUGAUUAGCUCAGUUGGCUAGAGCGUCUCGUUUACACCGAGGAUGUCGGGGGUUCGAGUCCCUCAUCACCCACCA